GAGUUUGAUCGUGGCUCAGAUUGAACGCUGGCGGUAUGCUUAACACAUGCAAGUCGAACGGUAACAGGAGAGAGCUUGCUCUUUUGCUGACGAGUGGCGGACGGGUGAGUAAUGCGUAGGAAUCUGCCUAGUAGUGGGGGACAACGUGUGGAAACGCACGCUAAUACCGCAUACGCCCUACGGGGAAGGACGGGGAGUCUUCGGACCGUCGCGCUAUUAGAUGAGCCUACGUUAG
rnacentral:rRNA from 1 species